rnacentral:pre_miRNA from 1 species
AAACUACUCCCUUCGUCCGAAAAUAUUUGUCAUAAAAAUGGUUGUAUCUAGACUUAUUUUAGUUAUAGAUACAUCCAUUUUAUCCAUUUCUAGGACAAGUAUUUCAGGAUGGAGGGAGCAUAUA